AUUGAACGCUGGCGGCAGGCAUAACACAUGCAAGUCGAGCGGAGCGGCGGCCGGGUGAGUAAUGGCUAGGAAUCUGACAGGGAGUGGGGGAUAACGUAAGGAAACGGGCGCAAAUACCGCAUACUAUCAGAUGAGACUAGGGCGGAUUAGCUAGUUGGUGGGGUAAGGGCAUACCAAGGCGAAGAUCCGUAACUGGUCUGAGCGGCUGAUCAGGCACACUGGAACUGAGACACGGUCCCGACUCCUACGGGAGGCAGCAGUGGGGAAUAUUGGACAAUGGGCGAAAGCCUGAUCCAGCCAUGCCGCGUGUGUGAAGAAGGUCUUCGGAUUGUAAAGCACUUUAAGUUGGGAGGCGUUACCAACAGAAUAAGCACCGGCUAACUUCGUGCCAGCAGCCGCGGUAAUUC
rnacentral:rRNA from 1 species